GGAGUCGUAGCUUAGUGGUUAGAGCGUCGGACUCAUGACUGAAGGUCGGGGGUUCGAUUCCCAACCCACUCGA
rnacentral:tRNA from 1 species